AAAUAAACCUGAUUGCAAUGGAAAGCCCCAAUUUUUCAUUGGGCUUGUAAUUAAAAGCAGGACUAAAA
rnacentral:sRNA from 1 species